UUCCGGUUGAUCCUGCCGGACCUGACUGCUAUCGGAUUGAUACUAAGCCAUGCGAGUCUUUGUAGUAAUACAAGGCAGACGGCUCAGUAACACGUAGUCAAUCUAACCUAUGGACGGGGAUAACCUCGGGAAACUGAGAAUAAUACCCGAUAGAUCAUUAUGCCUGGAAUGGUUUAUGGUCGAAAUGAUUUAUCGCCGUAGAUGGGACUGCGUUCUAUCAGCUUGUUGGUGAGGUAAUGGCCCACCAAGGCUAUAACAGAUACGGGCUCUGAGAGGAGAAGCCCGGAGAUGGGUACUGAGACACGGACCCAGGCCCUAUGGGGCGCAGCAGGCGAGAAAACUUUGCAAUGUGCGAAAGCACGACAAGGUUAAUCCGAGUGUUUUCUGCUAAAGAAAUCUUUUGUCAGUCCUAAAAACACUGAUGAAUAAGGGGUGGGCAAGUUCUGGUGUCAGCCGCCGCGGUAAAACCAGCACCUCAAGUGGUCAGGAGGAUUCAUUGGGCCUAAAGCAUCCGUAGGCCGGCUCUGUAAGUUUACGGUUAAAUCUAUAUGCUCAACAUAUAGGCUGCCGGGAAUACU
rnacentral:rRNA from 1 species